AAUAUUUUCUAUAUUGACUCAUAAAAAUGCAUUAUGGUUUUAGCAGGUAUAGACAGUAAAUCCUCUUUUGCAACCCAGAACUCAUUGUUGAAUAUGAGUUUUGAUACAUGUAAGAAGGAAUAUG